rnacentral:rRNA from 1 species
GCAUAUCAAUAAGCGGAGGAAAAGAAACCAACAGGGAUUGCCCUAGUAACGGCGAGUGAAGCGGCAACAGCUCAAAUUUGAAAUCUGGUCUUCGGGCCCGAGUUGUAAUUUGUAGAGGAAGCUUUUGGCGCGGUACCUUCUGAGUCCCCUGGAACGGGGCGCCAUAGAGGGUGAGAGCCCCGUAUAGUUGGAUACCAAGCCUGUGUAAAGCUCCUUCGACGAGUCGAGUAGUUUGGGAAUGCUGCUCAAAAUGGGAGGUAAAUUUCUUCUAAAGCUAAAUACCGGCCAGAGACCGAUAGCGCACAAGUAGAGUGAUCGAAAGAUGAAAAGCACUUUGAAAAGAGGGUUAAAUAGCACGUGAAAUUGUUGAAAGGGAAGCGCUUGUGACCAGACUUGCGCCGGGCUGAUCAUCCGGUGUUCUCACCGGUGCACUCUGCCCGGCUCAGGCCAGCAUCGGUUCUCGCGGGGGGACAAAGGCCCUGGGAACGUAGCUCCUCCGGGAGUGUUAUAGCCCAGGGCGUAAUGCCCCCGCGGGGACCGAGGUUCGCGCUCUGCAAGGAUG